AGAGUUUGAUCCUGGCUCAGGAUGAACGCUGGCGGCGUGCUUAACACAUGCAAGUCGAACGAAGCACUUUGAUCGAUUUCUUCGGAUUGAAAUUUUAGUGACUGAGUGGCGGACGGGUGAGUAACGCGUGGGUAACCUGCCUCACACAGGGGGAUAACAGUUGGAAACGGCUGCUAAUACCGCAUAAGCGCACAGUACCGCAUGGUACGGUGUGAAAAACUCCGGUGGUGUGAGAUGGACCCGCGUCUGAUUAGCUAGUUGGCAGGGCAACGGCCUACCAAGGCGACGAUCAGUAGCCGACCUGAGAGGGUGACCGGCCACAUUGGGACUGAGACACGGCCCAAACUCCUACGGGAGGCAGCAGUGGGGAAUAUUGCACAAUGGGGGGAACCCUGAUGCAGCGACGCCGCGUGAGCGAAGAAGUAUUUCGGUAUGUAAAGCUCUAUCAGCAGGGAAGAAGAAACGACGGUACCUGACUAAGAAGCACCGGCUAAAUACGUGCCAGCAGCCGCGGUAAUACGUAUGGUGCAAGCGUUAUCCGGAUUUACUGGGUGUAAAGGGAGCGCAGGCGGAAGGCUAAGUCUGAUGUGAAAGCCCGGGGCUCAACCCCGGUACUGCAUUGGAAACUGGUCAUCUAGAGUGUCGGAGGGGUAAGUGGAAUUCCUAGUGUAGCGGUGAAAUGCGUAGAUAUUAGGAGGAACACCAGUGGCGAAGGCGGCUUACUGGACGAUAACUGACGCUGAGGCUCGAAAGCGUGGGGAGCAAACAGGAUUAGAUACCCUGGUAGUCCACGCCGUAAACGAUGAAUACUAGGUGUCGGAAAGCAUGGCUUUUCGGUGCCGCCGCAAACGCAUUAAGUAUUCCACCUGGGGGAGUACGUUCCCCAAGAAUGAAACUCCAAAGGAAUUGACCGGGGACCCGCACAAACGGUGGAGCAAGGUGGGUUUAAUUCCAAACAACGCCGAAGAACCUUUCCAAGUUUUGAAUUCCCGGUGACCGACAAGAAAUUGUGGCCUUUUUUUCUGAACACCGGUGACAGGGGGGGCGGGGGUUGUCCCCACCUCCCGCCCCGGAGAAGUGUGGGUUAAAUCCCCCCACCAAGGGCGAACCCUUAUUCCCCCUAAGCCCCCAUUUUUGGAUGGGGCCCUCCUUAAGGAAAUUGCCCGGGAUACCCUGAGGAGAAAGGGGGGGGGUGAGGCGGCAAAAACCAAUCGGCCCUUUUAAAUUUGGGGUUACCCCCGGGCCCCAAUGGGGGUAAACAAAAGAGGAAAAAAACCCGGGAGGUGGGGGAGAUAUCCCAAAAAUAACGUCUCAGUUCGGACUGUAGUCUGCAACCCGACUACACGAAGCUGGAAUCGCUAGUAAUCGCAGAUCAGAAUGCUGCGGUGAAUACGUUCCCGGGUCUUGCACACACCGCCCGUC
rnacentral:rRNA from 1 species